AGCACAAUCAUGGAUCUCAGAUGUCAUUAAGGGAACUAGGAGUUCCAAAGGCUAGUUUGCGUCCUCCAAAAAUACCAUAGGCCCUGACUUGAGGAUUUGUCAUUGCUGUGAGAGCACUGUCUGCCCUUGCUCUGCAGCCUCCUCCCUCUAUGUGUGCAGUUGUGCCAGUGAAGGAUAGCAGUGCUUACGGACCAGGACCGUGCAUUCCUCAUUGUAGUCUACAUAUUUACCGUCAGCACUUGAAACGCUCUCUUAAAGGUCUGAAUUCCCAUUUCUAUCAGCCUGUACCUUUCCAAACCUUCCUCCAGAGAUCUCAGCUGUUUCAUUUUGUCACAGUUUUCUCCAAAGCCUGUUUCUCCAAUACAUUUUUAUAUUCAGUAUCUGAAUUAGAUAAUGAUUAUGGUUCUUUCAAGUAACUGUAAUAGCAAUUGUAUCUCCAAACAGAUGCCAUCAGCCAUAUGAAAAUAAAUGUUAUGUAGGUAGGAGAGACA
rnacentral:lncRNA from 1 species